UACGAAGGGGGCUAGCGUUGCUCGGAAUCACUGGGCGUAAAGGGCGCGUAGGCGGCCUUCUAAGUCGAACGUGAAAUCCCCGGGCUCAACCCGGGAACUGCGUCCGAUACUGGAAGGCUUGAAUCCGGGAGAGGGAUGCGGAAUUCCAGGUGUAGCGGUGAAAUGCGUAGAUAUCUGGAGGAACACCGGUGGCGAAGGCGGCAUCCUGGACCGGUAGUUGACGCUGAGGCG
rnacentral:rRNA from 1 species